rnacentral:rRNA from 1 species
GACGAACGCUGGCGGCGUGCCUAAUACAUGCAAGUAGAACGCAGUUUCGAACGGGUUAGUAACGCGUAGGUAACUGCCUGGUAGCGGGGGAUAACUAUUGGAAACGAUAGCUCAUCCCGCAUACUACCAGCUGGACCUGCGUUGUAUUAGCUAGUUUGUGGGGUAACGGCUCACCAAGGCAACGAUGACUAGCCGACCUGAGAGGGUGAUCGGCCACACUGGGACGUAGACACGGCCCAGACUCCUACGGGAGGCAGCAGUAGGGAAUCUUCGGAAAUGGGGGGAACCCUGACCGAGCAACGCCGCGUGAGUGAAGAAGGGUUUCGGAUCGUAAAGCUCUGUUGUUAAGGAAGCGGUACUUAACCAGAAAGGGACGGCUAACUACGUGCCAGCAGCCGCGGUAAUAC